AGAGUUUGAUCAUGGCUCAGAUUGAACGCUGGCGGCAGGCCUAACACAUGCAAGUCGAGCGGUAGCACAGAGAGCUUGCUCUCGGGUGACGAGCGGCGGACGGGUGAGUAAUGUCUGGGAAACUGCCUGAUGGAGGGGGAUAACUACUGGAAACGGUAGCUAAUACCGCAUAAUGUCGCAAGACCAAAGUGGGGGACCUUCGGGCCUCAUGCCAUCAGAUGUGCCCAGAUGGGAUUAGCUAGUAGGUGGGGUAACGGCUCACCUAGGCGACGAUCCCUAGCUGGUCUGAGAGGAUGACCAGCCACACUGGAACUGAGACACGGUCCAGACUCCUACGGGAGGCAGCAGUGGGGAAUAUUGCACAAUGGGCGCAAGCCUGAUGCAGCCAUGCCGCGUGUGUGAAGAAGGCCUUCGGGUUGUAAAGCACUUUCAGCGGGGAGGAAGGCGGUGAGGUUAAUAACCUCACCGAUUGACGUUACCCGCAGAAGAAGCACCGGCUAACUCCGUGCCAGCAGCCGCGGUAAUACGGAGGGUGCAAGCGUUAAUCGGAAUUACUGGGCGUAAAGCGCACGCAGGCGGUCUGUCAAGUCGGAUGUGAAAUCCCCGGGCUCAACCUGGGAACUGCAUUCGAAACUGGCAGGCUAGAGUCUUGUAGAGGGGGGUAGAAUUCCAGGUGUAGCGGUGAAAUGCGUAGAGAUCUGGAGGAAUACCGGUGGCGAAGGCGGCCCCCUGGACAAAGACUGACGCUCAGGUGCGAAAGCGUGGGGAGCAAACAGGAUUAGAUACCCUGGUAGUCCACGCCGUAAACGAUGUCGAUUUGGAGGUUGUGCCCUUGAGGCGUGGCUUCCGGAGCUAACGCGUUAAAUCGACCGCCUGGGGAGUACGGCCGCAAGGUUAAAACUCAAAUGAAUUGACGGGGGCCCGCACAAGCGGUGGAGCAUGUGGUUUAAUUCGAUGCAACGCGAAGAACCUUACCUGGUCUUGACAUCCACAGAACUUAGCAGAGAUGCUUUGGUGCCUUCGGGAACUGUGAGACAGGUGCUGCAUGGCUGUCGUCAGCUCGUGUUGUGAAAUGUUGGGUUAAGUCCCGCAACGAGCGCAACCCUUAUCCUUUGUUGCCAGCGGUUCGGCCGGGAACUCAAAGGAGACUGCCAGUGAUAAACUGGAGGAAGGUGGGGAUGACGUCAAGUCAUCAUGGCCCUUACGACCAGGGCUACACACGUGCUACAAUGGCAUAUACAAAGAGAAGCGACCUCGCGAGAGCAAGCGGACCUCAUAAAGUAUGUCGUAGUCCGGAUUGGAGUCUGCAACUCGACUCCAUGAAGUCGGAAUCGCUAGUAAUCGUAGAUCAGAAUGCUACGGUGAAUACGUUCCCGGGCCUUGUACACACCGCCCGUCACACCAUGGGAGUGGGUUGCAAAAGAAGUAGGUAGCUUAACCUUCGGGAGGGCGCUUACCACUUUGUGAUUCAUGACUGGGGUGAAGUCGUAACAAGGUAACCGUAGGGGAACCUGCGGUUGGAUCACCU
rnacentral:rRNA from 1 species